GACGAACGCUGGCGGCGUGCCUAAUACAUGCAAGUAGAACGCACAGUUUAUACCGUAGCUUGCUACACCAUAGACUGUGAGUUGCGAACGGGUGAGUAACGCGUAGGUAACCUGCCUGGUAGCGGGGGAUAACUAUUGGAAACGAUAGCUAAUACCGCAUAAUAUUGAUUAUUGCAUGAUAAUUGAUUGAAAGAUGCUAUUGCAUCACUACCAGAUGGACCUGCGUUGUAUUAGCUAGUAGGUGAGGUAACGGCUCACCUAGGCGACGAUACAUAGCCGACCUGAGAGGGUGAUCGGCCACACUGGGACUGAGACACGGCCCAGACUGCUACGGGAGGCAGCAGGAGGGAAUCUUCGGCAAUGGACGAAAGUCUGACCGAGCAACGCCGCGUGAGUGAAGAAGGUUUUCGAAUCGGAAAGCUCGGUUGUAAGAGAAGAACGGGUGUGAGAGUGGAAAGUUCACACUGUGACGGUAUCUUACCAGAAAGGGACGGCUAACUACGUG
rnacentral:rRNA from 1 species